CCACGACCACGACCCAUGUUCUCUAAAACCCUUCAUGUACCCCAGCCUAGGCUAGGGCCUCCUCUCUCGCCAUUCUCACAUUCUGCCAUUCUUUCUGGGUUUCUGCUCAAAAUGAGUGCUUUUGCCGGGAGACUCACCAAGCACUUGAGAAUUUCUGCUCCGACAACGCACGGAUCCUCAUUUGCGACGGGGGCUCAAAGAAGCUUGAAAUUGUGGUUUUCCACUGAGUCAUCUGACCAAAAUGAGGGUGAAAAGAAGAAUGUUGUAGUUGAAGAGUACAAUGAUGACUUACUUGGUGACAGAUCAGAAGCUGCAAUGCAGCCCCAGGGAGUGAAUCCUGGUAAAGGUUGGCUUUACCGCGGUGUACAUAAGGCAAUAAUUUGUGGAAAAGUUGGGCAAGCUCCUGUGCAGAAGAUAUUGCGAAAUGGCCGGACUAUAACCAUCUUUACCGUUGGGACAGGAGGCAUGUUUGAUCAGAGAACAAGUCUGGAAAAGGGCUUGCCAAGACCUGCACAAUGGCACCGAAUUGCCGUGCACAAUGAUCCACUCGGAACUUAUGCUGUUCAAAAGAUUGUUAAGAAUUCGCCAGUGUAUGUUGAGGGUGACAUUGAAACUAGAGUUUACAAUGACAGCAUCAACGGUGAAGUCAAAUACAUUGCAGAGAUAUGUGUUCGUCAAGAUGGUAGGAUUCGCCUCAUAAAGACUGGCGAAAGCGUUAGCAAUAUUUCCUUGGACGAUUUAAGAGCUCAUCUUUCAAUGGCAGGAGAGGGAUUGUUUUAGCUUAGAGACGAGACCGAGCAAUAGUGAAUGUUGGUCAUGCCUCUUUAAUUUUUUUCAACUGCAGUUUCGACCUACAUACUGGUAUGUACACACUACACAUUCACUAUGCAUACAAUUCAAAACCUUUAGUUCUGAUUUCACAUAUUCAAGACUAACUAUAUGCAACUAAAUUUAAUGAAAAAAACAAAGUUAAUUAUCUAUACAUCGCAUAGUCAUGGCUUGUUUUAAUGAGUUAUUCAUACAUAUUUAUUUUAUUGUUUUAGCAUAUCUUCCACUCAAUGCCAAUAGAUCAAUCUCGAAGUCUUAGUUUCCAUUUUGUCUUUGAAAGCAUUGUUGAUGGUUGAAAUUGAAAGUGCCUUCUUUGUAUAAAAUAUUCUUGUGCAGGCCUAGCUUAUUAUAUAUUUAUAAUUAGUAGUAGAAACUAGUACAUGAAAAAGAUAGUGUGUGUAUAUAUGUUAUAAUAUUUAUGAAUAUCCAACUACACAAGUUGGUGUUAUUAUAUCACCUUUAGUUUCCAAUAUAAGAGUGCUUUGCAAAGCAAUUGGACCCAUUUACUAUUAAAGGCUUGUUUUCUUUCCUAACUUUUAUUGUCUUUUAGUACUGAAAAAGGUGAUCAGCAUACAUAAUUAGGCUGUAGUACUAAACCUUAAUGCUUUUGAAUUGAAGAAAGUUUAUCAACUUGCCCUUAAUGCCUAUUCUUCUUUAUGCCAUUCAUAGACUUCAUCUUCAUAGUGAUCUUGACCAUUUGUCCUAUUUUUAAAAGUACAUUACCAAGAUUUGUUUUUUUUAUACACAAUAGUUUUUAC